GGAACUGUAAGCUCAAAAUGGCAGAGCGACCAGGUAAUCCACCUGGGAGGUUGGUGGUUCGAAUCCACCCAGCUCCA
rnacentral:tRNA from 1 species